AGUAGUCACAUUGCUCUGAAAGUUCUUUUCAAGAGCCAACUGAAGCAAUCCCAGGUGGAGCAUCAGCUGCGGCGCCAAAACACAAGAAGCAUUCCCGCUGUCGCCACCAUGGCGUCCGCCUCCGCCGCCGCCCAAGCUGUCUCCUUCCAGCCCGGCCGGCGCUGCCACAUUUGGUAUGGCCUUCUUGCACAGGACCAAACCUAGCUCCGUUGGCAAGGUGGUGUUCAAAUCGGAGAUUCAAGUUUGCCUCUCCAUGUGCUUUAUUGAGGUGGAGCAAAUCUCUUGGUGACACCCAAUUUGUUGUUGGUGCGAUGCGGGAGGUAGAGUUCCGCGUGGCACUGAAGAAAGAUACCAACAUGUCCAAAAAUCAAAGGCGAUGCAAGGGGUAUAAAGAGGAGUGCCACAUAGGAAACGAACCAUGGUGGGAGGGACACUUCCGAGGCAAUGAGAUGCCGACGUGAAAACAUCUAGCUACAGAGAAGGGCGUUUGCUAAACAGAAAUUCCUUUUAAAUUGUUAUAAAUUUCAGUUUAGACCAAAUGUUAUAAAAACCUGACAUGUUAUUGUGGCAACCAUUGUGAUAGACAAAUCAAUUUGGAUAAUCAAAACAUUGAACUUAUGAUUA